AUCUAUGGCCAUGCUACCCUGAACGAACCCAAUCCCAUCUGAUCUUAGAAGCUAAGCAGGGUCAGGCCUGGUUAGUACUUGGAUGAGGGACCACCUAGGAAGACCAGGUGCUGUAGGCA
rfam:Pteropus alecto contig163510, whole genome shotgun sequence.